UACGUAGGGGGCGAGCGUUGUCCGGAAUCAUUGGGCGUAAAGAGCGUGUAGGCGGCUUGGCAAGUCUGACGUGAAAGCCCGCGGCUCAACCGCGGAUUGUCGUUGGAAACUGCCUCGCUAGAGUCGGAAGAGGAGAGCGGAAUUCCUGGUGUAGCGGUGGAAUGCGCAGAUAUCAGGAAAGAACACCCGUGGCGAAGGCGGCUCCUGUGGGGAACGGUACUUGACGGCUGAAG
rnacentral:rRNA from 1 species